rnacentral:rRNA from 1 species
AUUCCAGCUCCAAUAGCGUAUAUUAAAGUUGUUGCGGUUAAAAAGCUCGUAGUUGGAUUUCUGCCGAGGACGACCGGUCCGCCCUCUGGGUGCGUAUCUGGCUCGGCCUGGGCAUCUUCUUGGAGAACGUAUCUGCACUUGACUGUGUGGUGCGGUAUCCAGGACUUUUACUUUGAGGAAAUUAGAGUGUUUCAAGCAGGCACACGCCUUGAAUACAUUAGCAUGGAAUAAUAAGAUAGGACCUCGGUUCUAUUUUGUUGGUUUCUAGAGCUGAGGUAAUGAUUAAUAGGGAUAGUUGGGGGCAUUCGUAUUUAACUGUCAGAGGUGAAAUUCUUGGAUUUUGGAAAGAUGAACUACUGCGAAGGCAUUUACCAAGGAUGUUUUCAUUA